CCAGUUAUGCUGAAACAGCUUGCUUUAGCUUCAAUGAAAAGUCUUGUACCAAUGAAUGAAUGGAACCUCUUUUCUGGCAUCCUGAGGAGGGUUUGUAGCCUGCAGAGCCACGAGGCAGUCUGCAUCUAAGAUACCCAGUCUGCAGUACUUUGUCACUGUGGCCAAGCUAAGAUGAGUGGCAAAGGCAUGGGUUGGCAUGUUCUCCCUAUGGCUAUCACAACCUUGGGUGGAGAGUAGCGUGCUCUAUUAGCACAGUUGAUUUCUCCAGCCUCAAGAAGCAGGGUUAUAGAUGAUUCUACAAUGUCCUUGGGGACUCUAUCUCUCCCCUGCUCUGUGCUGUGUUUCAUGGGUUGUGUGCAUGGUCUUCAGACAGUUGUAGAGGGGUAAUCUGGAAGGACUCAUCUAUAGAGAGGACAUUUGACCUUCAGGUUGAAAAGGUGCCAGUCCUAGGCAGCACCGGAGAAUGACCAGCUCUUACUGUCCUGGAACUGGGAGCUGUGCACCCCACUGGGACCACAACUCAAUGACAACUGGCCGAUGCUCAGCCCAAGGCCACCUGGGCUGGUGCCUGCCUUCAGGCAGAGCUAGGCGUCCAUCCAGCAUCCACAGCUCAUUAUAUUUGACUAUUUCUCUAUUCCUGGCAACAUCAUCGGGAGGGAUAUGCAAAUAAGAGAAUCAACUGAAUUUGUUUCACAGAACAAAGAACGACAUUUAAUCAGCACAAUAAAUACAUGUAGCCAUUUGCUGCAUAAGAUGACAGUUAAUGAAAGACGACUGGGAAGAAAGAAGGGAAAGUUUGGAGCUGGAAACAGAAAAGAACAAGGAAAGGCUGGGCCGUAAGAGCAGGAACGGCAAGUGGCACAAAGGUACAGUUGUUGAAACCCGAGGACCAGGCUCACCUGUCUGCAGAGGAAGUGUCUGAAGAAGCUAGGAACCUGAUCACCUUUCUCCUUCCUGCACUGCCCACACAACCACCUACAGAGGGCAGAGUCCCAGGAACAGAAGAGUCUCCUGCAGGGCUGGGCGGGGCUCCGCUGCCUCCUCUUCUCCAGGGGGCCCUAACAGAGAGCCAAGGUUGGACUCCAGCCCAGCUUUUUUUUUUCCCUGAAGAAGCCAACUGUGCCGAAGGUCAAGAUCUCGGAUGGGUCAGAGUGGGAAAGUUAACAUUCCCAAGGGGCUCAAGGCAACAGGAUUUCCUGACCCGGGACGAUUACCUUUCUCACACUGCGUGGUCACAGUUACUUCCUGCUAUUAUGCCAAAGAAUGAAGACAUUGCACUUGAUAGAAAAUGGGAAGGAGAGCUCUUGGCUCUAGGCUUUAAGGAGGAAGCAGGACCAGGUUAACUGCCCACUGCAAAGCUGCGGGGCUAGACCUGGCUCCACCCACCUCUGCCAUCAGCUGAAGAAUGCAACUCCAAACUUCUGAACCUCAGUUUACCUUUCUGUAAACAACAGGAAGGGAGGCUGGGAGGUAGAGUGCUGACUUGGGGACUUGCAGAUGAGAUAAAAUGGUUUGCAAA